GCCGCCCUGGCUCCGCGGGCCGCGGGCAACCCCCGAACCCGCCGGGAGAAAUAAACCUUUAACAGCGCCUUUUUAAACCCUCCGGGACAGAUAAACCCUCUGGCACCUCCUUUUAGUGCAAGCGAGUAUUUGCAGCUGCCUCUGCUUGAGCAAGCUCCAUGUCUCUGCACGGCUCCCGUCUGCCUCCUGUGAGCAGUGAUAAUAUCACUUCCCUGCUCCCAAGACUGCUAAGAGCUGAAGCUCUGGGUUCCUCUGAGGAAGCACAGAGGUCGAACAUGUGAGAUGAGUACCCCAAAAACCUCAUGGUAAAUCCCCUCACAUUCAGAAAAUUGCCUUCCAAUCAUUUGAGAAGCUAUGAAAAAACCCAAGCCCACAAUACCCACAAUACCAAUGCUUUAAGCAGAGGUGGGGAGAGUGUGUCACAUUUAAAAAAAGAAGUGGACACAAAGGCACUUCUGUUUAAAAGCUUCCAGGGUACUCUGAAAUUCCAGCAAAGCCUGGCUGAGCAGGAUAGUAGGUGAUAGUCUGCAGCAGGCAUGGAGUUUAUACAACCUUGAACAUCGACUAGGAAUUUCAAUUAAAUAUGUAUUGCUGAACAGCUUUGAGCCACUGGUUGUUGCAUUUCUUGGAAGACGACCUUUGAUGGCUAAUUGGGGAGUAAUAUGAGAUAAAAAAGAAGCAUAAAUAACCUAAAAAAAAAAAAAAAAAGAAAAAAAGGCUACUUAUACAGAUUAGAGUGAUGUUCUAUUUUAGAAAGUGGUGGACAUGUGGAGGUUUCUGCAGGACCAAAAUACUGCUAACAGGUGAGUAUGUCACCACCACUGCAGUCUGACAGAAGUCCAUUAGCUUAAAAAGGGGUCUUUUAAGACAGGAAAAAAGACGACAUAAUUAGGUAGUCUGGUUCAUUGGAAACACCUCCUCUGUUUUCAACCUGGACACAUCAGGUCCUUGAUAGAAGAAAUACACAUUCAACAGUAUUUUGGGUGACUUCAAUUUCCAGUAAUAUUGUUGUACAUAGGAAAGGAGGUAUGUUUGUCUUAGGCAAUUUUGUCUUUAAAACAGACAUCAGAAGAAACAGAAAUUACAAGAGGUAGUGAAUUUAGCAAAUCUGCACAUAAAAGAAUCAUAAGAAUAAAAUGCUGCAUUUACAGCUGUAAAUGUACACACCUGUAUAAGUUAAAAAUAUAAAGCUACUUUUACUGUGUUUCUUGUUCUUUUUAAGUUCAGAGAAUGAAGUAUUCAAGUGCUGGACCUAAAGUGGUGAACCUCAUUGCAUUGGCAAAA